rnacentral:piRNA from 1 species
UGGGCUGUUGUCUUUUGUGGAUUCUAUGC